rnacentral:rRNA from 1 species
AUACGUAUGGGGCAAGCGUUAUCCGGAAUUAUUGGGCGUAAAGAGUGCGUAGGUGGUUUUUUAAGCGUGGGGUUUAAGGCUACGGCUUAACCGUAGUUCGCCCCAUGAACUGGGAGACUUGAGUGCAGGAGAGGAAAGCGGAAUUCCUAGUGUAGCGGUGAAAUGCGUAGAUAUUAGGAGGAACACCGGUGGCGAAGGCGGCUUUCUGGACUGUAACUGACACUGAGGCACGAAAGCGUGGGGAGCAAACAGGAUUAGAUACCCUGGUAGUCCACGCCGUAAACGAUGAGCACUAGGUGUCGGGCUCGCAAGAGUUCGGUGCCGAAGUUAACGCAUUAAGUGCUCCGCCUGGGGAGUACGUACGCAAGUAUGAAACUCAAAGGAAUUGACGGGG